ACAGUCAUAUUGGACUGGUACAACAUGAAUAAAUAAAUAAUAACCAUGUCUACUACAGAACAGGACAUGUUUUACUGGUUGUACAGUAUAAAAUAAAUAAAUGAGCGUGUUUAUAGAACAGAAAAUGUUAUUUGGACGUGGGUUAAUAGGAAAGAUGUGUUUUCAGAAAACAAAGUUUGGUUAAACAACAAUGAACAGCGUGUAAUUAAACAUAUGUUCGUUCGCACACACACACACACACACACACACCUCGGCAACGUUAGUUAAUGUCCGCUAGCAUACAAACGGGCUAACUAUAGCCAGUUAGCUUUUUAAUAACGUAACAAAAACCCACCCAUCUCGUAGGCGCAAAGCUUAUUUCAUGUGAUACAAUGAUGGCUCAAACUAACGCCACAUGUCUUAUGUUGACAACGUGGACGCAGAUAUAGGAAACUCCGAAAACAGCCUUAAUAUUUACCUAGCGUUAGUAAGCUAGGCUAACGCUGGUGCGCUAACGUUAGCAAACACCGGCGUAGCGUUAGCUAACGUUAGCUGUCUGAACUUGUAAAAAGCCGAACAAUAUCCCCACCUGGACUGGGUUUCACUUUCCCUCCAAUAUUAUCAUCAACAUAAUAAAGACACUUGGACUCGGUCCAGACCAAAAGUCAUAUUGGGCCAGACCAGUGGCCGAGUCCGAGACAAGUCCGAGUCCAUAGAAAAACGGUCUCGAGUCCAAGACCGGACUCGAGUACUACAGCCCUGAAUACAUGUAUUAGCACUUUGUAUCUAUUAAAACAAGUUAUAGCAACAAAUACUAAUGAAAAAGAAAUAAAGGUUUAUUUAAAUGGUCUAUAUUUUUCAGUUUUAUUGCAAUGUGUCACAUAAAAUAAAUAUAUGAUUGUGUCAGCUUCGAGAUCUAUACAAUAUGUCAGUGUAUACACUAUUAAAAAUCCUAUCCCUUAUACAUUUAAUGAAAGUUACAAAUAAUUUAAUAAUUACCAACAGCAUUGUGCAACAGGUGUCCAAAACAUUGUAGCCUCUGCUAUUUGUUGCGUUCCGCAGCCUUCUUUAUAUUGCUCCCGUUGUCAGGCGUUAGAGCCACCUGAUGCUCUGGACGCAACUUUACUUUUGGCCUCUAAAGUUUCCUCUUCAUCCUGUUAUUUUGUCUUCUCCCUGAGCAACACUCAUUUUCUUACUUUUGUGUUCUUUCUUUUGCUCCCUUUCUUUCGCUUUGUUUUGUCUCUGUCUAUUUCUUCACUGAUUUAUGUUCCAGCGGAGGCGCGACGCUAGCCUGGCUCCGCCCUCCUACGCACUUCCGCUCAAUUUUUAUUUUCCUUCAGAACUCCGUCUGCGUGUCGGACGGGACGCAUAAAAAAAGAAUUAUCGCGAGACUUUCGAUAAUGAUAUCGAGCAACGUGAUAUCGCGAUAACGAUACUGAUUCGAUAUAUUGUGCACCCCUACUCCAGGACUUUGGUUUUGGUACCCUUCAGGAACUGUUGGACAAAUUUCGAUGUAUGCUUUGGGUCAUUGUCUUGUUGGAAGACCCAGUAACGACCCAAGGAUAAACUACACAUUUCUGCAUAUUAUCCCUCCAAAUUUCAACAUAAUUUUCCUUUUCCGUAAUGCCAUGCACCCGAAAAAGGCUCCCUGGGCCUGAGGCUGCAAAACAGCCCCACAGCAUGAUGCUCCCCCCACCAUGUUUAACUGUGGGAACCGUGUUCUUAGGGUUGAAAGCCUCUCCCUUUCUUCAGCAAACACAAACAACAUCCAUGUGCCCAACCAGUUCCAGUUUAGUCUCAUCAGACCAAAGCGCAGACUUCCAAAACUCAUCUUUACCUUUCAAAUGUUCACUGGCAAACCUCAGUCUGGCUGUGAUGUGCCGCUCUUUGAGUAAAGGGGUUCUUCUGGGACGAUGGCCCUGAAGCCCACCACGAUGAAGAGCCCUCACCUCUGUGUUCCUUGAAACAUCAACUCCAGAAGAGGCCAGGUCAGCAACAAUCCUCAUGGCAGAUGUUCCGCGGCUUCUUGCUGACAUCUCGGACUAUUUUCCUCUCCAGAGUUCUUGCGUGUGCUUACGACCACGCCCAGGUUUGUUUCUUACAGAAUGUGUCUCCUUGUACUUGCAAUGUCCAGGAAUGGCUAUACUGCCAUUUCCAAAUGCUUGGAAAUGGCAGUAUAGCCUUCUCCCUUAUCAUCAGCCUCCACUCUCUUCUUUCUGAGCUCAAGACUGAUUUCCUUUGUCUUUGGCAUGGUGAGUAUAUGUAGUCGUAGCAGUAGUUUUCAGUAGCCUCUCAAUGAUGUGUUCAAGUGCUCUGUUCAUUGGAGUUACUUUUACGCUGAUUGAAUGCUCACCAAUUCACCAAUGAAUGCAUUGGUGAAUGUUUGAUUAUAUCAAGUUUUAUUGAGGCUUUGUGCCAGACAUGUUAUAGCCCAAUGUGUUGUGUUAUCUGUGUUAUGUGGGCAGCUGUUGUCUUCCUGUGUGUGUCUCUCCCCUUUCCCCCCACUGUGUCUGUGUGUGUGUAUGUGUGUACGGACGGUCAAUCUACCUCUCUGCACAGCUGCUCGCUAUUCCACUUACCAACUCUACAGUAUUUCUUCCUGGGCGAAGCUCACCACCGGCUCCAGAUGGAUGCACCUACCAGUGUGACCUACGCCUCCAGACCUACGCCUCCAGACCUAAGCCUCCAGACCUACGCCUCCAGACCUAAUCCUCCAGACCUACGCCUCCAGACCUACGCCUCCAGACCUAAUCCUCCAGACCUACGCCUCCAGACCUAAGCCUCCAGACCUAAGCCUCCAGACCUACGCCUCCAGACCUACGCCUCCAGACCUACGCCUCCAGACCUAAGCCUCCAGACCUACGCCUCCAGACCUAAUCCUCCAGACCUACGCCUCCAGACCUACGCCUCCAGACCUAAUCCUCCAGACCUACGCCUCCAGACCUAAGCCUCCAGACCUAAGCCUCCAGACCUACGCCUCCAGACCUACGCCUCCAGACCUAAGCCUCCAGACCUACGCCUCCAGACCUACGCCUCCAGACCUAAGCCUCCAGACCUACGCCUCCAGAAGCUCAAGCCUUCCUACCUUCCCGCUUGGAUUCCAGAAAGAAAGUUUGGAUACACCACUGCCUGCCCUCCUCGGCCCCUAUCCAGCUCGGAGUCCUCCUACCGUGUGUUUUCUGUCCUCGGCUGCUCUUCCAGUCCCUCAAGCUGUCUCCUCGGACAUGAUGUCCAAAGCGCUGACUCAUUUUUCAAAAGAGACCACUGUCGUCCUCCACGGAGGCUUCUAAGAAAGAAACUACAAUGUUGGAAACUGAGAACUGCUGGUCUGGACCGACCAUAAAAACUUGGCAUUCAUCCCAUCCACCAAAAGACUCAACUC